rnacentral:rRNA from 1 species
UACGGAGGUCCCAAGCGUUAUUCGGAAUCACUGGGCGUAAAGCGUGUGUAGGCGGCGUGGUAAGUCAGAUGUGAAAGGCAGGAGCUCAACUCCUGGACUGCAUCCGAUACUGCCAUGCUAGAGGAUCGAAGGGGAGUCUGGAAUUCAUGGUGUAGCAGUGAAAUGCGUAGAUAUCAUGAGGAACACUAGUGGCGAAGGCGAGACUCUGGGAGAUACCUGACGCUGAGACACGAAGGCCAGGGGAGCGAACAGG